CCUUGUAGAAGAACCCACAGCACAUUUUCUGGUCCUCUCCGUACAGCUCUCCACUCGUCUCCAGACCCUGUCCUCCCAGAGGCUUCAGUGCGGACAUUGGUACUUCUACCAGGUCUCUACUGGGCUGGGACAGCACCUCUGCCAACUUCUUCGUCCUUCCAUCUCUCCUCUCCUCCUUCCUGUCCUGCUCUCUCCCUUUAGUGGGCGAGGAGGGAUGAGCGCAUGCACUCCGUAUCCCCGCCUCCACUACCUCUGGCUGUGUCUCAGGCUGCUCAUUUUGGUUCUGGGGCUCCUCUGCUCCCCCUGGGGCCCCUCUCUCCUUGCCCUCUUCUGUGGCCCCAGGACCCUCAUCAUGUCCCAGUGGUACCUGUGUGGUGAGGGCGCUGGAGGAGGUAUGACCCAGGACUGUUGCAGUUCCCUCAUGGCCAUGAUCCUGUCCUGCUGCUGAGCCAGCCGCUGCAUCUCCGUCUGCAGGAACCCCAGGGACGUGUUCAGCCUCUCGAUGGAGCUGGUGUACUCAGCCAGGUCCACCUCUCCAGCCACUAACCCUGGAGCAAGACACAGCGGACACGUCUACUUUAUAAGGUCUGUCCCCAAAGUCCUUUUUGGCUGGGCUACACAUAGGACCCAUAGUCCUGGAUGAAUGGGCAGGAUCACCGGCUGGGUACAAACAAACACCAAUCAUUCUUCAGGAUUCUCAAGUCAAUAAAGGUAGCCUAGUGGUUAGAGCUUCAAUCCCCGAG
rnacentral:lncRNA from 1 species